rnacentral:ncRNA from 20 species
UGACGUCAUUCAGGAGAAGAAAGUUAGACUUUCGCCGAAGGAAUUACACUCUCAGGUGUCUUAAGACAGGACUGAUUGAC